ACGAACGCUGGCGGCGUGCCUAAUACAUGCAAGUAGAACGCUGAAGGAGGAGCUUGCUUCUCUGGAUGAGUUGCGAACGGGUGAGUAACGCGUAGGUAACCUGCCUGGUAGCGGGGGAUAACUAUUGGAAACGAUAGCUAAUACCGCAUAAUAGUAGAUGUUGCAUGACAUUUACUUAAAAGGUGCAAUUGCAUCACUACCAGAUGGACCUGCGUUGUAUUAGCUAGUUGGUGGGGUAACGGCUCACCAAGGCGACGAUACAUAGCCGACCUGAGAGGGUGAUCGGCCACACUGGGACUGAGACACGGCCCAGACUCCUACGGGAGGCAGCAGUAGGGAAUCUUCGGCAAUGGACGAAAGUCUGACCGAGCAACGCCGCGUGAGUGAAGAAGGUUUUCGGAUCGUAAAGCUCUGUUGUAAGAGAAGAACGAGUGUGAGAGUGGAAAGUUCACACUGUGACGGUAUCUUACCAGAAAGGGACGGCUAACUACGUG
rnacentral:rRNA from 1 species